rnacentral:rRNA from 1 species
CCUACGGGUGGCAGCAGUGGGGAAUAUUGCACAAUGGGGGAAACCCUGAUGCAGCGACGCCGCGUGAGUGACGAAGUAUUUCGGUACGUAAAGCUCUAUCAGCAGGGAAGAAAAUGACGGUACCUGACUAAGAAGCCCCGGCUAACUACGUGCCAGCAGCCGCGGGAAUACGUAGGGGGCAAGCGUUAUCCGGAUUUACUGGGUGUAAAGGGAGCGUAGACGGCAGCGCAAGUCUGGAGUGAAAUCCCAUGGCUUAACCAUGGAACUGCUUUGGAAACUGUGUAACUGGAGUACAGGAGGGGCAGGCGGAAUGCCUGGUGUAGCGGUGAAAUGCGUAGAUAUCAGGAGGAACACCGGCGGCGAAGGCGGCCUGCUGGACUGAAACUGACGUUGAGGCUCGAAAGCGUGGGGAGCAAACAGGAUUAGAUACCCUUGUAGUC